CGCGUAGGCGGUUGUAUAAGUUAGAUGUGAAAUCCCCGGGCUUAACCUGGGAACUGCAUUUAAUACUGUAUGACUAGAGUAGAGUAGAGGGAAGUGGAAUUUCCGGUGUAGCGGUGAAAUGCGUAGAUAUCGGAAAGAACACCAGUGGCGAAGGCGGCUUCCUGGACUCAUACUGACGUUGAGGCGCGAAAGCGUGGGUAGCAAACAGGAUUAGAUACCCUGGUAGUCCAUGCUGUAAACGAUGAAGACUAGAUGUUGGAGGGUUAAACUCUUCAGUAUCGAAGCUAACGCGAUAAGUCUUCCGCCUGGGGAGUACGGCGCAAGGCUAAA
rnacentral:rRNA from 1 species